UGCCAGCAGCCGCGGUAAUACUGAAGGUGCAAGCGUUAAUCGGAAUCACUGGGCGUAAAGCGCUCGUAGGUGGCUUUGUAAGUCAGAUGUGAAAGCCCACGGCUCAACCGUGGAAUUGCAUUUGAUACUGCAUCGCUAGAGUAUAGGAGAGGGAAGUGGAAUUUCUGGUGUAGGAGUGAAAUCCGUAGAAAUCAGAAGGAACACCGGUGGCGAAGGCGACUUCCUGGACUAUUACUGACACUGAGUAGCGAACGCUUUGGGCGCAAACAGUAUUCGAUA
rnacentral:rRNA from 1 species